GUGCACCUUCAGUCCGCGCUCUGCCAAUACAAGAUCGUAUAAAUCGAUUUAUAUAAAUCUAUGGCCUAAUUACAAAUGGGGUUAUGUGGUUGUAACUGUAUUUUGGGAAUAAAAUGAAAAUGAUCAAUUAAACGACUGGAAAACUAUAGUGAAGUGAAGAACAUCUUGAAGUUCCAAUGAUGUUUCAAGAUGAGGUAAAUCGAAAUAAUUGUAUGUUAGAAGGACAGAGAAUAUGAAGAAAUGUUAUUGCUGCAUAUUUAGUGUAGUGAAAUACAAACUUCAAACAUUAUAAUAUAUUUUUUGAUUUCAAACAUUUCAUAUGAUUAUGAAAGAACAUCUUUCUUUUUAAAACAAUGAAGAAGUGAAGAACAUAAUAAAGUUCCAAUGAAAAUGAUUCCAGAUGAGGAAAAUCGAAAUAAUGGUUGUAUGUUACAUGUAUAGAGAAUACGAAGAAAUGUUAUUGCUGCAAACUUAGUGUAGUGAAUUAAAAACUUAUUGUCAAAUACAAAUCAAUUUAUUUCAUACUUUUAUAAUAUAUAGUGAUAUAAUUUUAUAUGUGUUCAAAUAAAAAUAUUAAUAAAUAAAAUACAAUAAACACAAA